rnacentral:rRNA from 1 species
UGAGGAAUAUUGGUCAAUGGACGCAAGUCUGAACCAGCCAAGUAGCGUGCAGGAUGACGGCCCUAUGGGUUGUAAACUGCUUUUAUAUGGGGAUAAAGUGGGGAACGUGUUCCCUUUUGCAGGUACCAUAUGAAUAAGGACCGGCUAAUUCCGUGCCAGCAGCCGCGGUAAUACGGAAGGUUCGGGCGUUAUCCGGAUUUAUUGGGUUUAAAGGGAGCGUAGGCCGUUUGGUAAGCGUGUUGUGAAAUGUAGGAGCUCAACUUCUAGAUUGCAGCGCGAACUGUCAGACUUGAGUGCGCACAACGUAGGCGGAAUUCAUGGUGUAGCGGUGAAAUGCUUAGAUAUCAUGAAGAACUCCGAUUGCGCAGGCAGCUUACUGUAGCAUAACUGACGCUGAUGCUCGAAAGUGCGGGUAUCAAACAGG